rnacentral:rRNA from 1 species
AUUGAACGCUGGCGGCAGGCCUAACACAUGCAAGUCGAACGAGUGGCGGACGGGUGAGUAAUGUCUGGGAAACUGCCUGAUGGAGGGGGAUUACUACUGGAAACGGUAGCUAAUACCGCAUACCAUCAGAUGUGCCCAGAUGGGAUUAGCUUGUUGGUGGGGUAACGGCUCACAAAGGCGACGAUCCCUAGCUGCUCUGAGAGGAUGACCAGCCAAACUGGAAGUGAGACACGGUCCAGAAUCGUACGGGAGUGAGCAGGGGGGAAUAUUGCACAAUGGGCGAGAGCCUGAUGCAGCCAUGCCGCGUGUGUGGAGAAGGCGUUCGGGUUGUAAAGUAAUUUCAGCGGGGAGGAGUUACCCGCAGAAGAAGCACCGGCUAACUCAGUGCCAGCAGCCGCGGUAAUAC